rnacentral:rRNA from 1 species
CGGACGGGUGAGUAAUGCCUAGGAAUCUGCCUGGUAGUGGGGGACGAAUGUUUCGAAAGGAACGCUAAUACCGCAUACGUCCUACGGGAGAAAGCAGGGGACCUUCGGGCCUUGCGCUAUCAGAUGAGCCUAGGUCGGAUUAGCUAGUUGGUGAGGUAAUGGCUCACCAAGGCGACGAUCCGUAACUGGUCUGAGAGGAUGAUCAGUCNCACUGGAACUGAGACACGGUCCAGACUCCUACGGGAGGCAGCAGAC